GGUGUUUUGAGUGUGUGUGUGUGUGUGUGUGUGUCUGGAGGACUGUAUGUUAGCCAUCCUGUUGCUGUAUGAAGGGGUUUGGUAUAGCCUCCAUGCCAUCCUGAGGACAGAUUAGAACGACAGAGGUUCCUCUGCACACCACCAGCCCCAGCUGUCUCGUGUCUUCUGUCAGUUUCAGCUGGUCAUCUGGAUCUGCAGAGAAAAUUAUUUAAAUAAUGACCCACAUUUUGAUCCACCAGGUGAGGUUCAAAGACAACUGAUGUCUAAUCUUAUGGAAAAGACCAGCAUGUGAUUCUGGUGCUUAAAGGUCA